GCGUUGUACGAAAGGAGAGAAGAUUAGUACUCCCUUUGAUAAGGCUGGAAGAGGCCCUUGGGCCUGACAAUGUGCAUACAUUUAAGGCAUUGCCACCUACUUCGUGGCAUCUAAACAUCAUUUUUU
ensembl:snRNA